rnacentral:rRNA from 1 species
GAUGAACGCUGGCGGCGUGCCUAAUACAUGCAAGUCGAGCGAACAGAUCUAGCUCUUUCUCCUCUUUCGUUACCGACGGAUGGGUGAUUAAUACGUGGCCAACCUAUCUCUAAGACUUGGAUAACUUCGGGUAACCGUAGUUACUACCGCGUCAUAUCUCGACCUGCAUGGUUCAAUAAUGACAGACGGUUUUGCUUUUACUUAUAGUUGCAUCCUAGCCGCAUUAGCUAGUUGUUAAGGUAACGGCUUACCAAGGCAACUAUGCGUAGCCGACGUGUGAGGGUGAUCGGCCACACUGGAACUGAGACACGGUCCAGACGCCUACGGGAGGCAGCAGUAGGGAAUCUUACGCAAUGGGCGAGAGCCUGACGGAGCAAGGGCGAGUGAGUGAUGAAGAUCUUCGGAGAGUAAAACUCGGUUAUUAGGGAAGAACAAAUGUGAAAAGAAAUAUGCACGACUUGACGGUACCUAAUCAGAAAGCCACGGCUAACUACGUG